AGAAAUUGAUGAGGCGCAUCAAUCAUCAGUAUAUAUUAGAUAAACUGUCUGCAACAGCUAAUAUAGAAAGGGUGCGAUGCCGAAAUGAAUCAUAAUCGCAGCUAUGAUUUGUUGGACUUUGUGGUUAAGAGCUGAAAGUUUGUCAUUAUUAUUUAAUAAUGGAGUGCAUCACUUGUA
rfam:Staphylococcus haemolyticus JCSC1435 DNA, complete genome.